rnacentral:tRNA from 2 species
GGGAGCUUAGCUCAGCUGGGAGAGCACCUGCCUUACAAGCAGGGGGUCACAGGUUCGAGCCCUGUAGUUCCCACCA